UUUUUUUUUUUUUUUUUUUUUUUUUUUGGUUGGUAUUUUUGUAUUUUUCUUACGAAUGGCUGUAAUUUGCUGCUAUUUGAUGAGCACUUUCACACCUCUGUUCACGAGGGUGUUGACCUGCACGUGUCCCUUCUUGCGUCGUGUUUCUCUGGCUCUGGUGUCAGGGUGAUGCCGGCUACAUAGAAUGACUUGGGAAUUAUUCUCUCUUGGAUGGUUUUUGAAGGCCGUAGACACAGCUGCUUUAGCUGUGGGACUGGCUGGAGACCUGCUUCUUCCCGAGUGAGUGUUGGUAGCCUGUGUCCUUGUUAGGUUUGUGCCAGCGUUGUUAUAACGUUGCUUUGUCUUUCUCCUGCCAUCUCUGAGAUCGGUAUGAGAUCCCUCAUGUUCUCCUCUCGUUCUGGCUUGGUUUGGCUAGAGGUUUACCAAUUUUCCUGAUCUUUACAAAGAAUCGGCUUUUGGUUUUGGUGAUUUUAUCCUUGUCUUUCUGUUUUGAACUCAUAUUUGCUCUUGUUUUAUCUUUCCUUUUGUGCCGCUUGCUUUAGCUUUAAGUUGCUCCUCGUUUUUUCUUGCUUCUUAAGCUCAAGUCUUUUUUUUGGCGUCGCCUGUGCCGUGUGGAAGCUCCCCUGGCGACACUGGGUUCUUAACCCACUGCGCUCCAAGGGAACUCUGGGAACGUCUUAGCUUGUUUAUUGGAAAACCAUCUUCUUUUCCGAUUUAAGCAUCUGAUGUCUCUAAACUUCCCUUGAAGCGCAGCUUCACGGACAUCCCACGUAUUUUAAGUUGUAUUUUCAUUUUCAUUCCAUUUAUAAUUUACCUUGUGACUUACUAUUUUUUUUGGCUGCACCCUCGGCAUGUGGAAGUUCCCGGGCCUGGGACUGAGCCCCUCGUGUAAGUGGAUCACACAGUGUUUGUCCUUCUGUGUCUGGUUUCCUUCGUUUAUGGCCUGACAGUUCAUCUGUGUUGUUCAUGGGUCAGAAUUUCCUUCCUCUUUUUUUUUUUUUUUUAAUAUUUUUUUUGUUCUUUUUAGGGCUGCACCUGCGGCAUUUGUAGCUCCGAUUGGACCCCUGGCCUGGGAACCUCCAUAUGCUGAGGGUGCUGCCCUAAAAAGCAAAAAACCAAACAAAAGAAAACAAAAAAAAAAAGGGAAAAUGUGCAAAAGCUCAAAGGCAGAGCCUUAACUUUUGUAAAGACCGCAUUUCGGUUCAUCUCCGCUGUAAGAAACAGUGUGAUCUGAGGGUUGAGCUCUCCAGGGGUGCACUUGUCUUUCCCGACCCACAGUCACCCCUGUUUGUCGUGUGACUCAGAAGGAAGCACGAUCUCCAGGGUCACGCUCAGCCUAUCCCGGGAAAUGCAGGAAGGACCCUAGUUCCUUGCUGGAGCCACAGUCCAUGCUACCAAGGUCAGCAUCUUUGGAGCAAGAUUUUUUGAGAAGUAGCAGAGUGUCACAUGUUCUUACCAAAACAAGUGUAGAGUGGAUUUCAAAACAGGACCCUGGAGAUCCCCCUCCGACAGCAUCCCCUCUCCCCGGACCUCCUUCCCCGGGAACCAUCCCAGGAGGCCUCCUGGGAGGUGGUGUGCUUGGCCAGUCAUCGCGUCCUUGAUGAUCGGCCUGGCAGUUAGAAUGUCAGCUUUGCCAAGGGGGGGAUUUGGAACUCUGCAUCCUUGGCACAUUACACCCUGACUUGUAAAUCGGGCAAAAUUUGCGAAGAGGAAGUGCAGAUGGAACAUAAAUUGAAAUGCGACACCAGAAGAGUGUCAGAUACAGGCAUCUGGGAUCAGCAGCUGGAAUGAAAACAUGAACAGCGAGUGAUUCGGAGGGACCUUAAACCACCUCUUUCUGAAAUAACCCUGCGUGUCUCCUGGUGUCAAGGAUGACCCCUGGCCCCCUGCCACUCGAGGGCCUGGGUAGGCGAAGGGCCUGUGUCCUGCUGUUUUCCUCAUCUCACUGGGGCACAGGCCACCCCUGCCCUUUCUGUUCCCAGACUGUCCACAGGGGGACACAGAGGUGGCACAUGCCGGACAGCCAGGCUCCUGCGUGGUUUUGUUUCGGGUGACUGGAAGGGGCACUGGGGGGAACCUACCUAAAGGUAGCCAGCAUGGGAGUUCCCUUUGUGGCUCAGCGGUUAAUGAACCCGACGAGGAACCAUGAGGAUGCAGGUUUGAUCCCUGGUCUCACUCAGCAGGUUAAGGAUCCAUUGUUGCCGUGAGCUGUGGCGUAGGUCACAGACGCUGCUUGGAUCCUGCAUUGCUGUGGCUGUGGUGUAGGCUGGUAGCUGCAGCUCCCAUUUGACCCCUAGCCUGGGAACUUCCAUAGGCCGAGGAUGCGGCCCUAAAAAGAAAAAAAAAAGGGAGUUCCCAUUGUGGCCAAUGGAAAUGAAUCUGACUAGCAUCCAUGAGGACUCGGAUUUGAUCCCUGACCUCGCUCAGUGGGCUAAGGAUCUGACAUUGCUGUGAGCAGGGGUAUAGGUUGCAGAUGUGGCUCAGAUCUGGUGUGGCUGUGGCUGUGGCGUAGGCCGGCAGCUACGACUCUGAUUCAACCCCGAGCCUGGGAACUUCCAUAUGCUGUGGGUGCGGCCCUAAAAAGCAAAAAAACAAAACAAAAACAAAAAAACAAAAAA
rnacentral:lncRNA from 1 species